rnacentral:ribozyme from 1 species
CUAAUUUUUUUUUUUUUUUUUUUUUGGCUUAGUUCUUUUUCC